rnacentral:rRNA from 1 species
GACGAACGCUGGCGGCGUGCUUAACACAUGCAAGUCGAACGCAGUGGCGAACGGGUGAGUAACGCGCCAUCAACCUUCCCCUCACAGGGGGACAACAGUUGGAAAAGACCGCUAAAUCCCCAUACUGAGGGAGGGGAUUGUGUUUGAUUAGCUAGUUGGAGGGGGAACGGCCCACCAAGGCGAUGAUGAGUAGCCGGGCUGAGAGGGUGAACGGCCACAAUUGGACUGGGACACGGCCCAGACUCCUACGGGAGGCAGCAGGGGGGAAUCUUUGGAAAUGGGCGGAAGUCUGACGGCGCAACGCCGCGGGGGUGAAGACGGCCUUCGGGGUGUAAAGCUCUGUUGAUCGGGACGCGGUACCGGAAUAGAAAGCCACGGCUAACUACGUGCCAGCAGCCGCGGUAAUUC